UAUAUAUAUAAAGAGAGAGAGAGAGAAAGUAGGGCUACUAUACUCUUAUAAGUAUAAUUUACUUUGUGCUCAUAAGUCUUCAACUGUUGGAUGAAGGGAUGUGCAGUUAGGAUGAUAGUGGUCUCCUAGGGUUGAGCGAGUGGUUUGUUGAAUAUUAUAAUCUAACGGAUGAAAAUGGUCAAAAAGGUAAAUCUAACGACUGAAAACUUAUGAAUACAAAUGUCUGCGACCACGAAUGACACACCUUGCACGGUUAAUCUUAUUUUCAAAUUCCCAUGGGGUAGUAUUCAUGAUUCAGAUUAAGAUUUAAUUAUAUAUGGUUAUCAGGUAUUGUGGAUUCAUGGCUUCCAAUAAACGCAAGCGUUUAUUGUUAAUUAUCCCUUCAAAGUGUUAGGACACCUUCGAUUAAGAGACCUCUGUAAUGCUGAAAUAGACUGAAAUUGAAUAAAAGGUGGAUUUUAUAACAUAAUCCAUUGUAUAGUUACAUGGCUUAACCAGGGGCAUACCCCCAAUGUACAUGAAUGAAUAUGACGGUUGAUUGAACUUGAUUCUGAAUCAAAGUGUAUGAUCAAAUUGAUUUGAUUGGGCUCUAUAUGUUUCAGUGCUCAACAAUAUUGUUCACCAUAGGUGAGGGAUUGAUUAAAUUUCAUGUAUAUGCAUUGGGACUUAAUCGGAUUUGAUUCAAAUUAAACCCUAGUUAGGUGCAUUAGAGUUUGAUUUGAUUAAAUUGAUUUAAGCUUUCAUC
rnacentral:lncRNA from 1 species